rnacentral:rRNA from 1 species
CACGUGAAUUAUCUACCUCCGAGUGGGAAUAACCUAGAGAAAUCUGGGCUAAUACCGCAUAACACUUACGAGUCAAAGCAGCAAUGCGCUUGGAGAGGAGUUCGCGGCCGAUUAGUUAGUUGGCGGGGUAAUGGCCCACCAAGACGAUGAUCGGUAUCCGGCCUGAGAGGGCGCACGGACACACUGGAACUGAAACACGGUCCAGACUCCUACGGGAGGCAGCAGUGGGGAAUUUUGCGCAAUGGGGGAAACCCGUGACGCAGCAACGCCGCGUGGAGGAUGAAAUCCCUUGGGAUGUAA